AUGCAUAUCCCUGACACUGGACACACGGCUGAAGUGCAGGGCGGCAGGGACAGUGAGGUGGAGAAGAUGGGGCCAGACGUGGAUUGGCGGGGGGAGGCGACAGCCAGACCUCACUGUGGAGCAGAGUCCAGAGUGUCCUGGACUCCACUGGCUGAGCCACACUUGUCUGGGCAUCAGGACUAACAGUGCCUGGCCAUGCUCUCUGAUCAGAGCAGCUGGCCCGUGAGAAGCCUGUCCUGCUUCAUUCUUUAGUUGAGACUCUAGGCCCAGAGGGGGCAGUGGCUUGCCUCAGGCCAUACAGAGGUAAGUGGCAGGGAGGAGGCCAUUGCUCAGCUACUCUUUUUUUCCUUUUCUUUUUCUCUUUUGCGGGCGCCCCCUCCGCAUAUGGAAGCUCCUGGGGCCGGGAAUCGACUCUGAGCUGGAGCUUUGACCUACACUAUAGCUGCAGCAGUGCUGGCUCCUUAACCCACUCGUGCUGGGCCAGGGAUAGAACCGGCACCUCCAUACAGACAAGCCAGAUCCUUAACUACUGUGCCACAGUGGGAACUCUUGCUCAGCUCUUCUGACUCUAACUUGGGGGCUCUUCCCAGCACAUGGGUACUGUGUCACCCCCAACCUGCCCCCGACCCCUUCCCUCGCUUUGUUACCUCUGGGCUCUCACUUGAGCCCAAGACCCAUGGGAAAGACCCACAGUUCUGCUCUAUGUCACCAGGUGUUUGGUGCCAAAGAUGAAUCUUGGACCUGCUGAACGAGCCAGAGGUGCAGCAAACACAUCUUGGACCUUAGGAGAAGAUGCACUUCGGCUGAGAUGGAGUAGCUGGUUCAGACCCUGGUUCUUUGUGCUGAAGCCAUGUCAUGUGACCUCGCUGGUCCAGCUGGCACAUCUGUGAGAUGGGACUGUAGGAGGCUCCAGUGUGUGCACAGCAUCAGGGAAGUGGUAGCUACGAGUGCUGGUGUUAAACGAAGAGUCCCUGGGCUGAGUGGCAGGUGGGAGAUCCCACUGGCACAAUGUCCCAAAAGGAAAAGCAUCCAUCCAUCCAUCCAUCCAUCCAUCCAUCCGUCCGUCCAUCCGUCCGUCCAUUCACUAUGA
rnacentral:lncRNA from 1 species